UAUUUAGUAACACUUGCAAAAGCCUAAAUUUGUAAAACCCAUGAAGGGGUGAACUGAAGGGGAAAGCACUGUAGCGCUAUUAAAGGUUCUUGAACCACAAACUCAAGCCCACAACUGAUCAAAAAUACUUGGGAACAAAAUUUCAGAAAGCUCCAAAGAGCAAAAUUAACCGCAGCUUCCAUUGCAUCUGAUACUCCAUGGAAGUGCCUCGGUGCCCUGGCCAAGAAUCCUGGCUCCUGGAGGCCCCACAGCCUGCCCUCAACUCCUGGCUCUGCCACAAGCUGUGUGACCUU